CAGUCGCCGCGGUAAGACAGAGGAUGCAAGCGUUAUCCGGAAUGAUUGGGCGUAAAGCGUCUGUAGGUGGCUUUUCAAGUCCGCCGUCAAAUCCCAGGGCUCAACCCUGGACAGGCGGUGGAAACUACCAAGCUGGAGUACGGUAGGGGCAGAGGGAACUUCCGGUGGAGCGGUGAAAUGCGUAGAUAUCGGAAGGAACACCUGUGGCGAAAGCGGCUCACUGAACCAUUUCUGACGCUGAUGCACGAAAGCUAGGGGAGCAAACAGGAUUAGAUACCCCUGUAGUCCCUGUCUCUUAUAA
rnacentral:rRNA from 1 species